AGGUCCUCACUCCCCACCACCCUCCCGCCUGCCCAGCAAGCUGCUCUAACAAAAGGUCAGGGCUGGAGAGAGGGUGGUGUGUUUAUUUCCUGUCUCCAUGGCACUGGUCUGCAGUGUGGGGUGAGCUGGGAGGAGCGCCCGCGCCACCGCCCCGCUGAUGUUAUCAGCAGUCAUCAGAAUGACUCCUGUCCACGCUGUCCAUCCUUCCUCCCUCCCACACCCACACUCCACAGACCCCGGCCCAGGCUCCUCCGUGGGUCUCCUGGUUUUGCUCGUGGUGUGUCUCUGUGAUCCCCAGCACGAAGAGAGGCAGCUGAAGCAACUGGCAUCCGUGGCAGAGCAGCUCACAGAAGCAGCUCAUGGACUCUGGCUGUGAUAAUAAAGCUGCAGUGAACAUCUGUGCGGAAGCCUUUGUGUGGACACGUGGUAUUUCCCUCGCUCUUUGUGCACACGUAAACUAUUAAACUACAUGCAUGAAGCUGUCACCAUGGAACCCACCGAGUUGCCUUGGCUACAUCCCUUCCUCCCAAACCCCCGUCACUAUUCCUUGGCCACCCGCUGCCACAGGCCUUGACCUCGCCAAGGGCCUUCGCCAGUGACGCUGGGAUGGCCCAGAGCUCAGGAAAGCCCUGCCGGAAACAG